CAUGAUAAAUUAUAGACACAAUACAUUAAAAUAUUUUAUUUAUAUCAUCUCGCUGGAACUUCUUAACAUCUCAUUCGCUUUCAUCACUAUUGAGCCUUGAAGUGCGGAAAUGAUGGAUGAUGCCUCGAUUAGAAAUCUGACAGCAAUCAACUCAGUGGAUCGUAGAAAAGGCUCUGAGAUCAUCUUAGAAUUGAGAGUAAGACUUAACUUAACCCUACAAAAUCAGCUUGUAAGGUGAGAAUUGCUCUCACUUAUAAACAUAUGUUCAGGUCCUCUUAAAAUAUUUUCAUUUUAAA
rnacentral:lncRNA from 1 species